UCUGCUCCCCCUAAGCUAGCCAUGUGGACCUACUACUACCGCAGAGACCGGACACCCCCGGGGGUGAUGCCCAUAGCUUAUGUUCAUGAAGCACCAUGGCCGCAUCUGACGAACCUGAACUCCAGCUCGGAGGACCUCAACACGAAGGAGGAUAAGUACUUCAGCCAUAUGCUGGCCUACGACAAUGGCGUGGACUACCAGGAACUACAGGGCGCGUACCGAUUCUACUACACCCCGAGGGACGGCGACGUCGUCAUGCCCGUGCCCACGUAUCACGCCAAGGACGAUGUUGUCAGCACCACCGACGCCUCCAGUGACGACACCGCCAAGAGGAGAUCCAACCGGAAAUUCUGCGUUUUCGUCAUCCUCCUUUUUCUUCUCGUCAGCAUCAUCAUCAGCUCCAUCGUCGUGUCAGUCAUACUUACACAGAAGUCAUCCGGUGCAGUUCCAAUUGAGCGCGUGCAGACCAGUCUCCGAGUGACAAAUAAGACAUAUACCCCUGAACUCGCCAACCCCGGAAGCUCUGAGUUCAAGGCGGCAGCCACCGAGUUCUGCAAACAGCUGAAGGAGACGUUACUCCUUGACGACUCCCCAUUGAAGGGCAAGGACUUUAGCUGUAAAGUACUGGAGAUAAGAAAUGGCAGUUUAAUCUUUAUCUACGAGCUGGUAGUGCCAAGGGGCGGAGCCAGCCUGGGAUCUACGUUCAAUGACCUCUUGGCGCAGUUCAUCAUUGCCCAAUCAAAAGAUGGAAAAGUCGGAACGUUGAACGUCGACCCCGACAGGGAGUGUGGGGUAUUAACUACGUCGUCAAGCGACGUACAGACUGAUGCAGAAUGUCCUCCAAUACCCAGUACCACAUCAUCGACUACAUCAACGCCUCCAUCAUCAAACACAGUUCAGUCAUCCCCAGCUGCAGUUUCAGCUUCGGUACAGGCGUCAUCUACUUCGACAGAGCCUUCGUCAUCAGUUGCUGGGCAGUCUGUAAUACAAUCUACUACGCCAGUAACGUCUUCGUCGUCAGCCGUGACACAAUCUUCAACAGCAAUUGCCCAGUCGACAUCUGCCUCAGUCGAAGCCGCAACGUCGUCAUUGCAGUCAUCGUCGGCUGUGACACAAUCUUCAACAGCAAUUGCCCAGUCGACAUCUGUCUCAGUCGAAGCCUCAGCAACGUCGUCAUUGCAGUCAUCGUCGGCCGUGACACAAUCUUCAACACCUGUUACCCAGUCGACAUCUGCCUCAGUGCAAGCCUCAGCAACGUCGCCCUUGCAGUCAUCGUCGGCCGUGACACAAUCUUCAACACCUGUUGCCCAGUCGACAUCUGCCUCAGUGCAAGCCACCGCAACGUCGUCCUUGCAGUCGUCGUCGGCUGUGACACAAUCUUCAACAACUGUUGCCCAGUCGACAUCUGCCUCAGUGCAAGCCUCCGCAACGUCGUCAUUGCAGUCAUCGUCGGCCGUGACACAAUCUUCAACACCUGUUGCCCAGUCGACAUCUGCCUCAGUGCAAGCCUCCGCAACGUCGUCCUUGCAGUCAUCGUCGGCUGUGACACAAUCAUCAACACCUGUUGCCCAGUCGACAUCUACCUCAGUGCAAGCCUCCGCAACGUCGUCCUUGCAGUCAUCGUCGGCUGUGACACAAUCUUCAACAACUGUUGCUCAGUCGACAUCUGCCUCAGUGCAAGCCUCCGCAACGUCGUCCUUGCAGUCAUCGUCGGCCAUGACACAAUCUUCAACACCUGUUGCCCAGUCGACAUCUGCCUCAGUGCAAGCCUCCGCAACGUCGUCAUUGCAGUCAUCGUCGGCCGUGACACAAUCUUCAACACCUGUUGCCCAGACGGCAUCUGCCUCAGUGCAAGCCUCAGCAACGUCGUCCUUGCAGUCAUCGUCGGCUGUGACACAAUCUUCAACAUCUGUUGCCCAGUCGACAUCUGCCUCAGUGCAAGCCUCUGCAACGUCGUCAUUGCAGUCAUCGUCGGCCGUGCCACAAUCUUCAACACCUGUUGCCCAAUCGACAUCGACCUCAAUCCAAGCCUCCGCAACGUCGUCAUUGCAGUCAUCGUCGGCUGUGACACAAUCUUCAACACCUGUUGCCCAGUCGACAUCUGCCUCAGUCCAAGCCUCUGCAACGUCGGCAUUGCAGUCAUCGUCGGCCGUGACUCUCUCUUCAACACCUGUUGCCCAGUCGACAUCUGCCUCAGUGCAAACAUCCGUAACGUUGGCAUUGCAGUCAUCGUCGGCCGUGACACAAUCUUCAACACCUGUUGCCCAGUCGACAUCUGCCUCAGUCGAAGCCUCAGCAACGUCGUCAUUGCAGUCAUCGUCGGCCGUGACACAAUCUUCAACACCUGUUGCCCAAUCGACAUCUGCCUCACUCGAAGCCUCAGCAACGUCGUCAUUGCAGUCAUCGUCGGCCGUGACACAAUCUUCAACACCUGUUGCCCAAUCGACAUCUGCCUCACUCGAAGCCUCUGCAACGUCGUCAUUGCAGUCACCGUCAGCCGUGACACAAUCUUCAACACCUGUUGCCCUGUCGACAUCUGCCUCAGUCCAAGCCUCCGCAACGUCGUCCUUGCAGUCAUCGUCGGCCGUGACACAAUCUUUAACACCUGUUGCCCAGUCGACAUCUGCCUCAAUCCAAGCAUCAGCAACGUCGUCCUUGCAGUCAUCGUCGGCUGUGACACAAUCUUCAACACCUGUUGCCCAGUCGACAUCUGCCUCAGUCGAAGCCUCAGCAACGUCGUCAUUGCAGUCAUCGUCGGCCGUGACACAAUCUUCAACACCUGUUGCCCAAUCGACAUCUGCCUCAGUGCAAGCCUCCGCAACGUCGUCCUUGCAGUCAUCGUCGGCUGUGACACAAUCUUCAACACCUGUUGCCCAGUCGACAUCUGCCUCACUCGAAGCCUCUGCAACGUCGUCAUUGCAGUCAUCGUCGGCUGUGACACAAUCUUCAACACCUGUUGCCCAAUCGACAUCUGUCACAGUGCAAGCCUCCGCAACGUCGUCCUUGCAGUCAUUGUCGGCUGUGACACAAUCUUCAACACCUGUUGCCCAGUCGACAUCAGCCUCAGUGCAAACAUCCGCAACGUCGGCAUUGCAGUCAUCGUCGGCCGUGACACAAUCUUCAACACCUGUUGCCCAGUCGACAUCUGCCUCACUCGAAGCCUCAGCAACGUCGUCAUUGCAGUCGUCGUCAGCCGUGACACAAUCUUCAACACCUGUUGCCCAAUCGACAUCUGCCUCAGUCGAAGCCUCAGCAACGUCGUCCUUGCAGUCGUCGUCAGCCGUGACACAAUCUUCAACACCUGUUGCCCAGACGACAUCUGUUUCAGUUCAAACCUCAGCAACGUCGUCAUUGCAGUCAUCGUCGGCCGUGUCACAAUCUUCAACACCUGUUGCCCAGUCGACAUCUGCCCCAGUCCAGGCCUCUGCAACGUCGUCAUUGCAGUCGUCGUCAGCCAUGACACAAUCUUCAACACCUGUUGCCCAAUCGACAUCUGCCUCAGUCGAAUCCUCCGCAACGUCGUCCUUGCAGUCGUCGUCGUCUGUGACACAAUCUUCAACACCUGUUGCCCAGUCGACGUCGGCCUUAGUCCAGGCCUCAGCAACGUCGUCAUUGCAGUCAUCGUCGGCCGUGACACAAUCUUCAACACCUGUUGCCCAGUCGACAUCGGCUUCAGUGCAGUCCUCAGCAACGUCGUCAUUGAAGUCAUCGUCGGCCGUGACACAAUCUUCAACACCUGUUGCCCUGUCGACAUCUGCCUUAGGCCAAGCCUCCGCAACGUCGCCAAUGCAGUCAUCGUCGGCUGUGACACAAUCUUCAACACCUGUUGCCCAAUCGACAUCUGCCUCAGUCGAAGCCUCCGAAACGUCGUCAAUGCAGUCAUCGUCGGCCGUGACACAAUCUUCAACACCUGUUGCCCAAUCGACAUCUGCCUCAGUGCAAGCCUCAGCAACGUCGUCAUUGCAGUCAUCGUCGGCCGUGACACAAUCUUCCACACCUGUUGCCCAGUCGACAUCGGCCUCAGAGCAAGCCUCCGCAACGUCGUCAUUGCAGUCAUCGUCGGCCGUGACACAAUCUUCAACACCUGUUGCCCAGUCGACAUCUGCCUCAGUGCAAACAUCCGCAACGUCGUCAUUGCAGUCAUCGUCGGCCGUGACACAAUCUUCAACACCUGUUGCCCAGUCGACAUCUGCCUCAGUGCAAACAUCCGCAACGUCGGCAUUGCAGUCAUCGUCGGCUGUGACACAAUCUUCAACACCUGUUGCCCAGUCAACAUCUGCCGCAGACCAAGCCUCCGAAACGUCGUCCUUGCAGUCAUCGUCGGCUGUGACACAAUCUUCAACACCUGUUGCCCAGUCGACAUCUGCCUCAGUCGAAGCCUCAGCAACGUCGUCAUUGCAGUCAUCGUCGGCCGUGACACAAUCUUCAACACCUGUUGCCCAGUCGACAUCUGCCUCAGUCCAAGCCUCAGCAACUUCGUCAUUGCAGUCAUCGUCGGCCGUGACACAAUCUUCAACAGCUAUUGCCCAGUCGACAUCUGCCUCAAUCCAAGCCUCAGCAACGUCGUCAUUGCAAUCAUCGUCGGCCGUGACACAAUCUUCCACACCUGUUACUCAGUCGACAUCUGCCUCAGUAGAAGCCUUACCAACGUCGUCAUUGCAAACAUCGUCGGCCGUGACACAAUCUUCAACACCUGUUGCCCAGUCGACAUCUGCCUCAGUCGAAGCCUCAGCAACGUCGUCCUUGCAGUCAUCGUCGGCUGUGACACAAUCUUCAGCACCUGUUGCCCAGUCGACAUCUGCCUCAGUCCAAGCCUCAGCAACGUCGUCAUUGCAGUCAUCGUCGGCUGUGACACAAUCUUCGACAGCUAUUGCCCAGUCGACAUCUGCCUCAGUCGAAGCCUCAGCAACGUCGUCAUUGCAAUCAUCUUCGGCCGUGACACAAUCUUCCACACCUGUUACCCAGUCGACAUCUGCCUCAGUAGAAGCCUCACCAACGUCGUCAUUGCAAACAACGUCGGCCGUGACACAAUCUUCAACACCUGUUGCCCAGUCGACAUCUGCCUCAGUCGAAGCCUCUGCAACGUCGUCAUUGCAGUCAUCGACGGCCGUGACACAAUCUUCAACACCUGUUGCCCAGUCGACAUCUGCCUCAAUCCAAGCCUCAGCAACGUCGUCCUUGCAGUCAUCGUCGGCCCUGACACAAUCUUCAACAGCUAUUGCCCAGUCGACAUCUGCCUCAGUCCAAGCCUCCGCAACGUCGUCAUUGCAAUCAUCGUCGGCCGUGACACAAUCUUCCACACCUGUUACCCAGUCGACAUCUGCCUCAGUAGAAGCCUCAGCAACGUCGUCAUUGCAGUCAUCGUCGGCCGUGACACAAUCUUCAACAGCUAUUGCCCAGUCGACAUCUGCCUCAGUCGAAGCCUCAGCAACGUCGGCCUUGCAGUCAUUGUCGGCCGUGACACAAUCUUCAACACCUGUUACCCAGUCGACAUCUGCGUCAGUCGAAGCCUCAUCAACGUCGUCAUUGCAGUCAUCGUCGGCCGUGGCACAAUCUUCAACACUUUUUCAGUCGGCAACUCCUUCAGUACAAUCAUCCUCAUCAGCAUCACCCUCAAUUCAAUCAACGACCAUCGUGGAAAAUUCUUCAAUAUCAAUAUCCCAGUCGAUAUCUAGUACAACACAACCAACACCGCCGCCCACAAUACAACCAACACCGUCGUCCACAAUGCAAAUGUCAUCGACUCCAUAAAUAAUCUAACUGUACUUGAUCAAUUUGCUACAUUGCAGCCUUCAUCUCGGGACUAAUGCCGUACAGGUGAUGCUAACACCAGCCAGCGCAGGACUAUCAUGGCGAGUCGGCUUCAACGCUGUUCCAGCUAAGUCAUCAUCUACAUUACACGUUGUUUAUUCAUCAUCGGACAAAUCUGCCCACAACACAUUGACCACAAUGACGUCUCAAACUGCAAGGAACAAAAGGAUUGCGUCUCAAUCUGCUGGCAGUAGCAUGUUACGAGCUUCUGUAGGACAUUGCCUCUAUCCCAAACUGCUUGUACCACAAUGACUCACAGUAACUGUUCCACACGCUGCUUGUACCACGAUGACGCACAGUGACUAUUUCACAGGCUGCAUGUACCACGAUGACUCACAGUGACUAUUUCACACGCUGCUUGUACCACGAUGACGCACAGUGACUAUUUCACACGCUGCUUGUACCACGAUGACGCACAGUGACUAUUUCACAGGCUGCUUGUACCACGAUGACGCACAGUGACUAUUUCACCCGCUGCUUGUACCACGAUGACGCACAGUGACUAUUUCACACGCUGCUUGUACCACAAUGACGCACAGUGACUAUUUCACAGGCUGCUUGUACCACGAUGACGCACAGUGACUAUUUCACAGGCUGCUUGUACCACAGUGAGUCACAGUGACUAUUCUACAAACUGCUCGCAAUACAUUGACUUUGUUCCAAGUGGAUAAACACAUGGCAGGACAGGUUUCGUCUACCAUCGUUAACACCUCUGCGAUGUUUAUAAGAUCAUCCACGACAUCCCCAUUAGCAGCAACGCCAUCAACAACGGAGUUAAUGAGAUGACAGGGGGACAGAAAGUUCGACUUAAUGAGAAUGUGUGUGUACAGCCCAGUGUCAUGCUCUACUGCUCAUCACGGAUCAUACGACGAAAUGAGUUCCGUGUGACUCCGUCCAUUGUGCCCUGACAUGACAAGGAUGCAGUAUAUCAAUGUGUGGAACAAGGAAGUGGAACUGAGGUUAACUGUUUCAAUUUCUUUAAGUUGUGAUGGCAGAACUCUCGUCUUGAUGCUUCGUGAUUCGGCAUCAUAUCGACAUUCACUAGGACUCCUGUCACAAGGAACACCUUGUGCUACGUGUAUUGUAAUCGCCAUUUUUAUACAGAGAUCUACGAUAGACGUAUCGCUACGUUCAGGAGCCUAUUUCAUUAUAUGCAUUGUACAUUCAUCAGUAUUGGAUACAUAAUAUAUCGUUGUCAUACUUACAGUAUUCUGUAUAUAACUCAUAUACCUUCACAAUGUGUGAGAUUUCUAGCUCAUCUGAUAUCAUCUGAAAGUUGAAUCACUGGUGAGGGGCCUAAGAUUCCGACAGUAAUGUACUCAAUGAUGAAUAUCUACUUACACUUAUUAGAUAACAAAUAUAAUAGAAGAUGUUUAUAUUCUUCAACCCAUGUUGGGAUAUUUCAGAAAUAAAUGGCAUUUGAAUUUGGCAUUCUUGGCAAUAGUAAUGUACAGCGCCCAAAAGCCUGUCAAGCUACCACAAAGAGUUGUAUCCCCAACACUGACUCGCCUGUUCGCUGGUUCGAACUUGGUUAGUGGUUUGUGUCCGUCUGUUUAUUGUUGUUACAUAUUAUAAAUAUGUAAAUAUGUAUAUUUCUAAUCAAAGUUGCUACGUCACUUUAUAUACAUUAUAUUAAUAAACUUUAUUAUUAUAACCA
rnacentral:misc_RNA from 1 species